CAAUAGCGUAUAUUAAAGUUGUUGCGGUUAAAACGCUCGUAGUUGGAUCUGCGGCCGCGGAGGACGGUCCCCCGAAAGGGCGGUCACUGUCUCUCCUAGCCUAAUUUAUUUAGUCGUCUCUAGGUGCUCUUUACCGAGUGCCUAGAGUGACUAGAACGUUUACUUUGAAAAAAUUAGAGUGCUUAAAGCAGGCGCAAUCGCCUGAAUAAGGUGCAUGGAAUAAUGGAAUAGGACCUCGGUUCUAUUUUGUUGGUUUUCGGAGCCCGAGGUAAUGAUUAAGAGGAACAGACGGGGGCAUUCGUAUUCCGGCGCUAGAGGUGAAAUUCUUGGACCGCCGGAAGACGGACGACUG
rnacentral:rRNA from 1 species